GAAAAGCAGUCAUUGGUUUCUAAAAGGUCAUCAAGAUAUAAAGCCCGUUUGGGAAGGGAAUGACUUACGCAGUGGGCUUGUAUAAAUCUGGAGAAGUUUUAUGCACAAGUCGGACAAGAAAUGUGUUCUACAUACGGCUCGGGAGCCAGCAAGUGCGUAUGAAGCCCCUUCACAUGGCUAGUGGCAUCCUAAGGACCCGGCGACAAUUAGUCAUGGCGUCAUCGAACACCAGGCUGGAGGAGGUCUUGGAUGCCACAGCUCCUUUUGAAUUUCAAAGACGUUCAAAUCCCCAUCUGGCUGUUACACUUUUAGGCUAUUGAGAGUGAAAACAAGCACUGACAUGAACACCCAACCAGCUGCCGGUGACAUCGUCCCCUUCUGAGAUCUGAGGACAUGGAUACCCAACCACCUGCCGGUGACAUCGUCUCCUUCUGAGAUCUGAGGACAUGAACACCCAACCACCUGCCGGUGAUAUCGUCCCCUUCUGAGAUCUGAGGACGUGGAUAUCCAACCACCUGCCGGUGACAUUGUCUCCUUCUGAGAUCUGAGGACAUGGACACCAAACCACCUGCCGGUGACAUUGUCUCCUUCUGAGAUCUGAGGACAUGAACACCAAACCACCUGCCAGUGACAUCGUCCCCUUCUGAGAUCUGAGGACAUGGAUACCCAACCACCUGCCGGUGACAUCGUCUCCUUCUGAGAUCUGAGGACAUGGACACCCAACCACCUGCCGGUGACAUCGUCUCCUUCUGAGAUCUGAGGACAUGAACACCCAACCACCUGCCGGUGAUAUCGUCCCCUUCUGAGAUCUGAGGACGUGGAUAUCCAACCACCUGCCGGUGACAUUGUCUCCUUCUGAGAUCUGAGGACAUGGACACCAAACCACCUGCCGGUGACAUUGUCUCCUUCUGAGAUCUGAGGACAUGAACACCAAACCACCUGCCAGUGACAUCGUCCCCUUCUGAGAUCUGAGGACAUGGAUACCCAACCACCUGCCGGUGACAUCAUCUUCUUCUGAGAUCUGAGGACAUGGACACCCAACCACCUGCCGGUGACAUCGUCUCCUUCUGAGAUCUGAGGACAUGGACACCAAACCACCUGCCGGUGACAUCGUCUCCUUCUGAGAUCUGAGGACAUGAACACCCAACCACCUGCCGGUGAUAUCGUCCCCUUCUGAGAUCUGAGGACGUGGAUAUCCAACCACCUGCCGGUGACAUUGUCUCCUUCUGAGAUCUGAGGACAUGGACACCAAACCACCUGCUGGUGACAUUGUCUCCUUCUGAGAUCUGAGGACAUGAACACCAAACCACCUGCCAGUGACAUCGUCCCCUUCUGAGAUCUGAGGACAUGGAUACCCAACCACCUGCCGGUGACAUCAUCUUCUUCUGAGAUCUGAGGACAUGGACACCCAACCACCUGCCGGUGACAUCGUCUCCUUCUGAGAUCUGAGGACAUGGACACCAAACCACCUGCCGGUGACAUCGUCCCCUUCUGAGAUCUGAGGACAUGGAUACCCAACCACCUGCCGGUGACAUCGUCUCCUUCUGAGAUCUGAGGACAUGGACACCAAACCACCUGCCAGUGACAUCGUCUCCUUCUGAGAUCUGAGGACAUGGACACCAAACCUGCUGCCGGUGACAUCGUCCCCUUCUGAGAUCUGAGGACAUGGACACCCAACCACCUGCCGGUGACAUCGUCUCCUUCUGAGGUCUGAGGACAGACACUCACAUGGACACCUAAACACCUGCCGAUGAUAUUGUCUCCUUCUGAAAUCUGAGGACAUGGACACCCAACCAGCUGCUGGUGACAUCAUCUCCUUCUGAGAUCUGAGGACAGACACUCACAUAGACGCCCAAUCAGCUGCUGGUGACAUUGUCUCCUUCUGAAAUCUGAGGGUUGGAACACAUUGGCCUGGCUCAGUGUUUCUCCAUGUGGUUUUGAGACCACCUGAGUUGGAACCGAUAUGGGUUCCCAGCCUCACGCCUGGAGAGCUGGAUUUUGCGAGUGUGAGGUUAGGUCCAGCAUCUGCAUGUGUAACGAGCUCCCAGGUGUUUCGUAGAUGCAUUAGGGCUUGAGAAGCUCCUUUCUAGCACCAUCUUCCUUUUUGCGCAUGAGGGAGUUCAGGUCCAGAGAAAUAAAGCAGCAAGGUUAGUGGCACAGCUGGCGCCCCCUGCUUUCUAGGAAUUUAGAAUAUUAUUGAAGAGAGAGGUAUUAGAACCUGUGAAGUCAAUACAGAGACCUCCAGGCGAGUGGCAUCCUCACUGAAACCACUGACAAGUAUGCUGAAUAGAAAGUGUCAUUUCUCCUGGAAGACCCUCAGUGACCCAGCUGGAGGGUCUCUCCUACUCAUCAGCUGUCCCUCACUCUGCCAUUUCAG
rnacentral:lncRNA from 1 species